rnacentral:piRNA from 1 species
UGGAAGUGUUAAGAACUGAGUGGAGCUGA